rnacentral:rRNA from 1 species
GAUGAACGCUGGCGGCGUGCCUAAUACAUGCAAGUCGAGCGAACAGACGAGGAGCUUGCUCCUCUGACGUUAGCGGCGGACGGGUGAGUAACACGUGGAUAACCUACCUAUAAGACUGGGAUAACUUCGGGAAACCGGAGCUAAUACCGGAUAAUAUAUUGAACCGCAUGGUUCAAUAGUGAAAGACGGUUUUGCCGUCACUUAUAGAUGGAUCCGCGCCGCAUUAGCUAGUUGGUAAGGUAACGGCUUACCAAGGCAACGAUGCGUAGCCGACCUGAGAGGGUGAUCGGCCACACUGGAACUGAGACACGGUCCAGACUCCUACGGGAGGCAGCAGUAGGGAAUCUUCCGCAAUGGGCGAAAGCUUGACGGAGCAACGCCGCGUGAGUGAUGAAGGUCUUCGGAUCGUAAAACUCUGUUAUUAGGGAAGAACAAAUGUGUAAGUAACUAUGCACGUCUUGACGGUACCGAAUCAGAAAGCCACGGCUAACUACGUG